rnacentral:rRNA from 1 species
UUUAGAUGGCGACCGGCGCACGGGUGAGUAACACGUAUCCAACCUGCCGAUGACUCGGGGAUAGCCUUUCGAAAGAAAGAUUAAUACCCGAUGGCAUAGUUCUUCCGCAUGGUAGAACUAUUAAAGAAUUUCGGUCAUCGAUGGGGACGCGUUCCAUUAGCUUGUUGGCGGGGUAACGGCCCACCAAGGCAUCGAUGGAUAGGGGUUCUGAGAGGAAGGUCCCCCACAUUGGAACUGAGACACGGUCCAAACUCCUACGGAAGGCAGCAG